rnacentral:rRNA from 1 species
CCAGACUCCUACGGGAGGCAGCAGUGGGGAAUAUUGCACAAUGGGGGAAACCCUGAUGCAGCGACGCCGCGUGAGCGAAGAAGUAUUUCGGUAUGUAAAGCUCUAUCAGCAGGGAAGAAAAUGACGGUACCUGAGUAAGAAGCUCCGGCUAAAUACGUGCCAGCAGCCGCGGUAAUACGUAUGGAGCAAGCGUUAUCCGGAUUUACUGGGCGUAAAGGGAGCGUAGACGGUAUGGCAAGUCUGAUGUGAAAACCCGGGGCUCAACCCCGGGACUGCAUUGGAAACUGCCGAACUAGAGUGUCGGAGAGGCAAGUGGAAUUCCUAGUGUAGCGGUGAAAUGCGUAGAUAUUAGGAGGAACACCAGUGGCGAAGGCGGCUUGCUGGACGAUGACUGACGUUGAGGCUCGAAAGCGUGGGGAGCAAACAGGAUUAGAUACCCCCGUAA